UGGGAUAGGUGUGGGGCCUUUUCCACGGGUUCUGCGCCGUAGCUAACGCUUUAAGUGCCCCGCCUGGGGAGUACGGCCGCAAGGUUAAAACUCAAAGGAAUUGACGGGGGCCCGCACAAGCGGCGGAGCAUGCGGAUUAAUUCGAUGCAACGCGAAGAACCUUACCAAGGCUUGACAUACACUGCGAUGUGCCAGAGAUGGUGCAGCCUUCGGGGUGGUGUACAGGUGGUGCAUGGUUGUCGUCAGCUCGUGUCGUGAGAUGUUGGGUUAAGUCCCGCAACGAGCGCAACCCUUGUCCUGUGUUGCCAGCAUGUUGUGGUGGGGACUCACGGGAGACUGCCGGGGUUAACUCGGAGGAAGGUGGGGAUGACGUCAAAUCAUCAUGCCCCUUAUGUCUUGGGCUUCACGCAUGCUACAAUGGCCGGUACAGAGGGUUGCGAGCCUGCAAGGGUGAGCUAAUCCCUUAAAGCUGGUCUCAGUUCGGAUUGGGGUCUGCAACUCGACCCCAUGAAGUCGGAGUCGCUAGUAAUCGCAGAUCAGCAACGCUGCGGUGAAUACGUUCUCGGGCCUUGUACACACCGCCCGUCACGUCACGAAAGUUGGUAACACCCGAAGCCCGUGGCCUAACCUUUGUGGGGGGAGCGGUCGAAGGUGGGAUUGGCGAUUGGGACGAAGUCGUAACAGGGU
rnacentral:rRNA from 1 species